UACGUAGGGUGCAAGCGUUAGUCGGAAUUACUGGGCGUAAAGCGUGCGUAGGCGGUUUCUUAAGUCCGUUGUGAAAGCCCUGGGCUCAACCUGGGAACUGCAGUGGAUACUGAGAGGCUAGAGUGUGUCAGAGGAUGGUGGAAUUCCCGGUGUAGCGGUGAAAUGCGUAGAGAUCGGGAGGAACAUCAGUGGCGAAGGCGGCCAUCUGGGACAACACUGACGCUGAGGCACGAAAGCGUGGGGAGCAAACAGG
rnacentral:rRNA from 1 species